rnacentral:lncRNA from 1 species
CAUUGAUAUCUACGCACCAAGUUAAGGGGGAGUGUUGACAGUUUUAGAACAGCUACAGAAACCAAAUAUUGAUUUUUCUAUCUUGUAUAAUAUGAAAUAUUGUAAAAUAUUAAGUUUCCUAUAUUGAGUUUCAUGUUUUGUAGGAUUACUAUUGUAGUGAGAUUUCUUUCCUAAAAGACAAAAAAAAUUAACUUUAUAAAUCUCUGGUAAAACAGAGUAAUCCCUAUUAAUGAGAAUUUGGUUUACCAUCCGUAGAUGUAGGCACCAUUGCCGAAUCGCGUAUAUCUUGUCGGUUUUUUUUCUUUCUCUUUCGUCUCUAUUUCUUUUACUACAAAUUCUACACUUGGGCAAGUCCAAGUGGAUUCCCAGUUCUGAGACAUUGC